CCUACGGGUGGCAGCAGUGGGGAAUUUUGGACAAUGGGCGCAAGCCUGAUCCAGCCAUGCCGCGUGGGUGAAGAAGGCCUUCGGGUUGUAAAGCCCUUUCGGCUGGGACGAAAAGGCCCGUGCUAACACCACGGGUCCAUGACGGUACCAGCAGAAGAAGCACCGGCUAACUACGUGCCAGCAGCCGCGGUAAUACGUAGGGUGCAGGCGUUAAUCGGAAUUACUGGGCGUAAAGCGUGCGCAGGCGGUCUCUUAAGACAGGUGUGAAAUCCCCGAGCUUAACUUGGGAACUGCGCUUGUAACUGAGAGGCUAGAGUGUGGCAGAGGGGGGUGGAAUUCCACGUGUAGCAGUGAAAUGCGUAGAGAUGUGGAGGAACACCGAUGGCGAAGGCAGCCCCCUGGGCUAACACUGACGCUCAUGCACGAAAGCGUGGGGAGCA
rnacentral:rRNA from 1 species